AAAAAAACAUUAUAUUUUCGAACUAAUAUAAUAUAAUCAGGGAAAAUAACUUUUAUAUAUAUAAAAAAAACAUAUUAAUUUAUACCAAAACGACCAAUUAAUAUAAUUUCCCGGAUUACCAUUUUAGGCACAAAUCCGACAUUUUACGGAACUAAUUAAUGCAAUUUUUGGAAAUUACCCGAUUUUAAAUACCAAAUACCUUUAAUACGCAAAAGCUUUUUGGGCAAAAUAUUUCCGAAACAAUUGUGGAUUUUAUUUAAAUAGGAAAAUAAUUUACAACUUUUUCCCGCGACGGUGUAAAAUAACAGGUAUUUAUAAAAUAUAUACCACAAUCGACCUACCAAAUUGGGAAAUUAAAAUAAAAUUUAAUAUUAAACCAGCCGUAAUUUUUACGCCUAAUAAUAAUUACUUUAUAACGUAUUAUAACCAAAAAUAAUUUCUAUAAUACAAAUGCAUCCAAAACGUAUAUAAAAUAUAUAUAUUAGCCAGAAUAUAAACCUGGUACAAAUAAAAAUUACGGUAACCAAAACUUACACCAAUAACCAAAAUUAUAUAAAACCCUAACGUAUAAAAUAACGAGGAAACCAUAAACGCACGCAAAAUACCCGUACCAGCAAAACACCCAUUUAAUUUAAUCGAAACGAAAAAUAACCGUAUAUUUAAAAAUAAAAAAAAUAAGGACCCACAACGCGAGUCCAGCAAAUUAAAAAUUAAAAUAACCAGACGGUAUAAAGCACCGAACGGCAAUAAUAAAAGCGAAAUAAAAAACCCUAAACGUUAUAUAAAAUAUUAUAGCAAUAUAUAAAUAUAUAUUUUUUAAUAUACGAUUUAAUGGUAGAUUUAUACAAACAUUUUUCGACAAUGGAAUAUAAAAUAAUUAUAUUUUACCAAAAGUUAUAGCGAAACGACGGAUAUUUUAACAGUAAAAAAGGAAUUAUACCAAUUAUAAACCGUGGAAAAAAGGCAAUUUUAUA
rnacentral:sRNA from 1 species